GUCUACAGCCAUGCCACCCUGAACAAACCCAAUCCGUCUGAUUUCGGAAGCCAAGCAGGGUCGGGCCUCAUUAGUGCUUGGAUGGGAGACCACCUAGGAAGACCAAGUGCUAUAGGUG
rnacentral:rRNA from 1 species